rnacentral:tRNA from 1 species
GGUCCGUUCGUCUAGCCAGGUAAGGACGCCAGGUUUUCAUCCUGGUAACACGGGUUCGAAUCCCGUACGGACUA